rnacentral:rRNA from 1 species
ACUGCAGUCGAGCGGACAGAUGGGAGCUUGCUCCCUGAUGUUAGCGGCGGACGGGUGAGUAACACGUGGGUAACCUGCCUGUAAGACUGGGAUAACUCCGGGAAACCGGGGCUAAUACCGGAUGGUUGUCUGAACCGCAUGGUUCAGACAUAAAAGGUGGCUUCGGCUACCACUUACAGAUGGACCCGCGGCGCAUUAGCUAGUUGGUGAGGUAACGGCUCACCAAGGCGACGAUGCGUAGCCGACCUGAGAGGGUGAUCGGCCACACUGGGACUGAGACACGGCCCAGACUCCUACGGGAGGCAGCAGUAGGGAAUCUUCCGCAAUGGACGAAAGUCUGACGGAGCAACGCCGCGUGAGUGAUGAAGGUUUUCGGAUCGUAAAGCUCUGUUGUUAGGGAAGAACAAGUGCCGUUCAAAUAGGGCGGCACCUUGACGGUACCUAACCAGAAAGCCACGGCUAACUACGUGCCAGCAGCCGCGGUAAUACGUAGGUGGCAAGCGUUGUCCGGAAUUAUUGGGCGUAAAGGGCUCGCAGGCGGUUUCUUAAGUCUGAUGUGAAAGCCCCCGGCUCAACCGGGGAGGGUCAUUGGAAACUGGGGAACUUGAGUGCAGAAGAGGAGAGUGGAAUUCCACGUGUAGCGGUGAAAUGCGUAGAGAUGUGGAGGAACACCAGUGGCGAAGGCGACUCUCUGGUCUGUAACUGACGCUGAGGAGCGAAAGCGUGGGGAGCGAACAGGAUUAGAUACCCUGGUAGUCCACGCCGUAAACGAUGAGUGCUAAGUGUUAGGGGGUUUCCGCCCCUUAGUGCUGCAGCUAACGCAUUAAGCACUCCGCCUGGGGAGUACGGUCGCAAGACUGAAACUCAAAGGAAUUGACGGGGGCCCGCACAAGCGGUGGAGCAUGUGGUUUAAUUCGAAGCAACGCGAAGAACCUUACCAGGUCUUGACAUCCUCUGACAAUCCUAGAGAUAGGACGUCCCCUUCGGGGGCAGAGGACAGGU